rnacentral:rRNA from 1 species
AUUGAACGCUGGCGGAAUGCUUUACACAUGCAAGUCGAACGGCAGCACGGGGGCAGCCCUGGUGGCGAGUGGCGAACGGGUGAGUAAUACAUCGGAACGUGCCCGGUCGUGGGGGAUAACGUAGCGAAAGUUACGCUAAUACCGCAUACGAUCUGAGGAUGAAAGCGGGGGACCUUCGGGCCUCGCGCGAUCGGAGCGGCCGAUGUCAGAUUAGGUAGUUGGUGGGGUAAAGGCCUACCAAGCCGACGAUCUGUAGCUGGUCUGAGAGGACGACCAGCCACACUGGGACUGAGACACGGCCCAGACUCCUACGGGAGGCAGCAGUGGGGAAUUUUGGACAAUGGGCGCAAGCCUGAUCCAGCCAUUCCGCGUGCAGGACGAAGGCCUUCGGGUCGUAAACUGCUUUUGUACGGAACGAAAAGGCUCUGGCUAAUACCUGGGGCUCAUGACGGUACCGUAAGAAUAAGCACCAGCUAACUACGUG